GGUGUCCAAUUCAGUUCAAUUUGGAUACCAUCUACUUGGAAUUAGUGUCAAAUCCCACAAAUUAAAGGGCCUAGUCCCAAAGACUAACCCUGCUUCAGGUGCCAGCUGCAAGUAGGGUACCCAGGUGACCCACAUUUCUGCCCAGCCAACUACAUAUUUGAGGAUUCCCAUGACCACCCCUCCCCCAACUUUGAUAAUUCACCAUAUAACUCACAGAACUCAGGAAAGUGCUCUACUUAUUAUUACAGUUUAUUAUAAGGGGUACAACUCAAAAGAGCCAAAUGAAAGAGAUGCAUAUGGCAAGGUAUGGGAUAAGGGUUGCCAAGCUUCCAUGCCCUCUCCAAAUGCACCAGCCUCCCACCACAUUGGUGUGCUCACCAACCCAGAAGCUACUUGAACUCUCUCAUUUAGGGGUUUUUAUGAAAGUUUUGUUACAUGGGCAUGAUUGAUUAAAUCAUUGGCCAUGGGUGAUUGAAUUUCAUCACCAGCCUUCUCUCCUCCCUGGAGGUUGGUGGGAGGGAGGGGAUUGAAAGUUCUAACCCUCUAAUCAUGUGGUUGGUUUUUCUGGUGACCAGGCCCCCCCUUUGUGAGUCAUCUCAUGAGCACACAAAAGACAGUAGAUUCCAAGGAUUUUAGGAGCUCUAUGCUAAGAAUCAGGGACAAAAAUAAAUUAAAAAAUUUUUUUUAAAUUAAAAAAAUUUUAUUAUACCACAGAGGCAGAAACCAUUUACUCACAGUCUUGCUGAGAAGGAAGUGCUAGAGCAGGCCUGGAUGAGGGAGAUGGGGCCAGCGUGGAGGGCAGCUCCAAGGUAACAAGCGGACAACACAGCUUGGGUCAAGGCUGAGUGUGCUGUGGCUGUUCUGGAACAGGAUGUGGGCUUGUGCCAAGGUCGGGUUGGAAUAAUAUCCCUCAUGGAAAAAGGAAACUGUUCUGAGAUAGCUCAGAGGUCAGUCCACAUGACAUUCUUGAGUGCUCUGAGGAAUCAAUCCUGGAAUCUGUCAGUCUGUUCAGCUGCUGUAACAGAUAACAUGGACUGGGUGGCUUAUGAAUCACAGAAAUUUACCUCUUCGGGUUAUGGUGGUGGGAAGUUCAAGUUCACCCAUCAAGCCUGGUCGGUUGUAGAUGAAGGUCCUCUUCUGGGUUGCAGAAUGGCGACAUCUCAUUAUGUUCUCACAUGGCAGAAGGUGGGCAAGCAGCUCUCUGGGGCUUCUUUAUUAAAGGUACGAAUUCCAUUCAGGGGGGCUCUUCUCUCAUGACCUAAUCACCUUCCCAAGGCCCCACCUCCUACAACCAUAACAUUAGGUAUUAGGAAUUCAGCAUAUGAAUUUUGGGGGAUGUAUCCAUUUAAACCACAGCAGAAUCUAUUUUUGAAAAGACCCAAAUGCCCUGAAAGGUACAGAGAAGGACUAGGAGCAUGCUCUAGGAGUAGCAUAGCAAGAAUGCUAAAAAGGAAGGAAGCUCACAUUUCAAGAGCACUCACCAUAUGCCAGGCCCCAUGCUGGCUGCUUUACCUACAUGAUCUUUUCAUUUUCCCAACAGUUCCGUGAGGUUGGCUUUACCCACUUCUACUUCCAGAUACUGAAGCUGAGGUUCAGAGAAGUUAAAUAGUUUGUCUAAGGUCAAUGUGGUAAUCCGUACCACGUGGUGGCCCAUAGCAUGUAGUGGUCCAUACCAUGUGGCGGUCCAUUGACCACAAGCUAUGCUCUUUCCAAUGCAUAACAAAAGAGUUGUGGAUACUGACAGUAUCAGUAGAGACUGAUUUUAGAAUUAGAAGUAAACUUGGAGUAAAUGGGCAGCUGGUACUAAAUAGACUUAGAAGUAUUUUUAGUGAUUACCCUCUCCCAUACCUAUACCAGGUGGUCUCUGGUUUCAGUUUUUCUUUCGGUUGGGGUAGCCCAGCAAGUUGAGGAAUGAUUCCUUCCAAACAUCACCUGCAAGAAUAGAAAGAUGAGAAUGGGAGAAAGUGUGAAAAGAAGAUUAAUGGAAAGCAAAGGGAUAAUCUUCUGAGAACUUUAGAAUAUUAUAUCUCUGCAAUAAUUAGUUAAUGUGGCUCAAGAAUAGACUCAGAGAUGAAUGGAGGAAAAUAUAUAUUUUUGUGGAAGCAAACUCUAAAAGUCAACAUGCAAUAAAGGAAAUGCUGCAAGUCA
ensembl:lncRNA